rnacentral:rRNA from 1 species
AGAGUUUGAUCAUGGCUCAGAACGAACGCUGGCGGCGUGCCUAACACAUGCAAGUCGAACGUGAAAGUCCUUCGGGAUGAGUAAAGUGGCGCACGGGUGAGUAACACGUGGGUAAUCUUCCCCAAAGACUGGGAUAACCUUUCGAAAGAAGGGCUAAUACCGGAUAAGACCACAGAAAUUGAGAUUUCAGAGGUCAAAGGUGCUUUGGUAUCACUUUGGGAUGAGCCUGCGUCGCAUUAGCUAGAUGGUAGGGUAACGGCCUACCAUGGCGACGAUGCGUAGCUGGUCUGAGAGGACGACCAGCCACACUGGAACUGAAACACGGUCCAGACUCCUACGGGAGGCAGCAGUGGGGAAUAUUGGACAAUGGGGGAAACCCUGAUCCAGCAACGCCGCGUGGGUGAUGAAGGCCUUCGGGUCGUAAAGCCCUGUUGAGGGGGAAGAAGUCAUGAAGUAACGUUUCAUGGUUGACGUUACCCCUUGAGGAAGCACCGGCUAACUCUGUGCCAGCAGCCGCGGUAAUACAGAGGGUGCGAGUGUUGUUCGGAAUUAUUGGGCGUAAAGGGCGCGUAGGCGGUUUGGUCAGUCAGUUGUGAAAUCCCUGGGCUUAACCCAGGAACUGCAUCUGAUACUACCAAGCUAGAGUGCGAAAGAGGAGAGCGGAAUUCCCGGUGUAGAGGUGAAAUUCGUAGAUAUCGGG